UGGUACAAAUGGUAAAUACACUCUGCUGCUAACUGAAAGGUUGGUGGUUCAAAUCCACC
rnacentral:tRNA from 1 species